UACGUAGGUGGCAAGCGUUAUCCGGAAUUAUUGGGCGUAAAGCGCGCGUAGGCGGUUUUUUAAGUCUGAUGUGAAAGCCCACGGCUCAACCGUGGAGGGUCAUUGGAAACUGGAAAACUUGAGUGCGGAAGAGGAAAGUGGAAUUCCAUGUGUAGCGGUGAAAUGCGCAGAGAUAUGGAGGAACACCAGUGGCGAAGGCGACUUUCUGGUCUGUAACUGACGCUGAUGUGCGAAAGCGUGGGGAUCAAACAGGAUUAGAUACCCUGGUAGUCAAGGGCG
rnacentral:rRNA from 1 species